GGUCCGUUGGUCAAGGGGUUAAGACACCGCCUUUUCACGGCGGUAACAUGGGUUCGAAUCCCGUACGGACUA
rnacentral:tRNA from 1 species